CGGCGGCCACCGCUAUAGGAAUUCGAUUAAGACAUGCGAGUCGAGAGUCGUAAUGGACUCGGCGGACUGCUCAGUAACACGUGGAUAACGUGCCCUUAAGUGGAGGAUAAUCUCGGGAAAUUGAGGAUAAUACUCCAUAGACUACGAAAUCUGGAAUGAUUCAUAGUUGAAAGUUCCGGCGCUUAAGGAUCGGUCUGCGGCCUAUCAGGUUGUAGUGGGUGUAACGUACCUACUAGCCUAUGACGGGUAUGGGCCUUGAGAGAGGGAGCCCAGAGUUGGAUUCUGAGACACGAAUCCAGGCCCUACGGGGCGCAGCAGUCGCGAAAACUUCACAAUGGGGGCAACCCCGAUGAGGGAAUUCCUAGUGCUAGCACAAUUGUGUUAGCUUUUCUCUAGCGUAGAUAACUGGAGGAAUAAGGGCUGGAAAG
rnacentral:rRNA from 1 species